rnacentral:rRNA from 1 species
UACGUAGGGUGCAAGCGUUAAUCGGAAUUACUGGGCGUAAAGCGUGCGCAGGCGGCUUUGUAAGUCUGAUGUGAAAUCCCCGGGCUCAACCUGGGAAUUGCAUUGGAGACUGCAAGGCUAGAAUCUGGCAGAGGGGGGUAGAAUUCCACGUGUAGCAGUGAAAUGCGUAGAUAUGUGGAGGAACACCGAUGGCGAAGGCAGCCCCCUGGGUCAAGAUUGACGCUCAUGCACGAAAGCGUGGGGAGCAAACAGG